GACGAACGCUGGCGGCGUGCUUAACACAUGCAAGUCGAACGGAAAGGCCCGGCUUUUGUGCGUUGCUCGUUUGGCGAAGAGGGGAGAAACACGUGAGUAACCCCCCCUUGACUUUGGGAUAACAUCAGGGAACUGGGGCUAAUAUCGGGUAGGAGCUCCUGCAGCAUGUUGAUGGUUGGAAAGAUUCGGUGGUUGGGGAUGUACUCGCGGGUUAGCAGCUGGUUGGGGUGGUAGUGGCUUACCAAGGCUUUGACGGGUAGCCGACCUGAGAGGUGGAUCGGCCACAUUGGAGGUGAGACACGGUCAAGGCUCCUACGGGAGGCAGCAGAAGGGAAUCUUCCGCAAUGGGCGAAAGCAUGACGGAGCAACGCCGCGUGAGUGAUGAAGGUCUUGGGAUCGUAAAACUCGGUUAUUAGGGAAGAACAAAUGUGUAAGUAACUGUGCACGUCUUGACGGUACCUAAUCAGAAAGCCACGGCUAACUACGUG
rnacentral:rRNA from 1 species